CACUGCAACAACAUGAAGAUCCUUCAGCUUCAGCUCUAUGUAUUAAUCUGUUGUCAGUAUGCAGUAUCAGAUCUAUUAACUGAUUUGGGAUCAAAUGUGAGCAUAAACUGUGAUCUUGAUGAAAAUGAUGUUUAUUGGAUUUUACUGAAAACAGCAGAUCCUCCAACAGUCAUUCUACAGUCAUUCUCAACACAAACACCACCUUUUUACCCUAAUAAAUCAUUCAGAAAGAAAUAUUCAGUGCAGUUUAAACAUCGUCUGGUUAUUAAUAAUGUGACUGCUGAUGAAUUAGGAGUUUAUUACUGUAUGAACACACGUACACCUCCAAAACUCAGCAACAGCACCAGAAUAUACUUCAACGAAUCAGCUCAACUAACUGAGUGUCACAAUCAUACAGUUUAUGAGUUUAUUGAUCAGAAUCAAACACAAUAUCAGAUUAUCAUCAUCAUAUCUGCUCUGAUGAACGGACUUCUGCUCAUUCUGCUGAUCGG